GACAGUCUAAAAUCACGUCUUUCGUUGCAUUACGCAAAUACGUUGUCGUUAAAUGUCGUUCUCUCCGUCUGCAUAUCAUUGCGUUUUGACAUUUUGACAGGCGGAACAAAGUGUACCACGUGAGAAUUACUUCGUCGUGUAUUUAAUUAACGUUAAUUUGCAAAAUGAACAGGCUCUUUGGACGCGCUAAACCCAAGGAUCCGCCACCAAGCAUCACUGACUGUAUCGCAGGGGUUGACAGUAGGGCAGACUCUGCAGAAAAGAAGAUAGCUAAAUUAGAUGCAGAGUUAAAAAAAUACAAAGAUCAAAUGGUCAAGAUGAGAGACGGGCCAGCAAAGAAUGCAGUAAAGGCAAAGGCUCUGCGUGUAUUGAAGCAGCGGAAGAUGUAUGAGGCUCAAGUGGAUAACCUACGUCAGCAGGCAUUUAACAUGGAGCAAGCAAACUAUGCCACUCAGACAUUAAAAGACACUCAAACAACUGUAGUUGCUAUGAAAGAAGGCGUUAAGCAAAUGCAAAAGGAAUUUAAAAAUAUCAACAUUGAUCACAUUGAAGAUAUGCAAGAUGAUUUGGCAGAUAUGUUAGAACAAGCUGACGAAGUACAGGAAGCAAUGGGUCGCAGUUAUGGAAUGCCAGAAAUUGAUGAUGAUGAAUUGGCAGCAGAACUAGAAGCCCUUGGUGAUGAUCUUGCCUUGGAUGAAGAUACUAGUUACUUAGAUGAUGCUAUUAAGACACCUAAUGCCCCAGACAAAGAACCUGGAGCAAGUUCAGUCAAGAACAAGGAUGGCGUUCCAGUGGACGAGUUUGGCUUGCCACAAAUACCUGCUAGUUAAAUUUAAAAAUAUAUCAAAAUUUAUAGAUAAGGCAAAUGUAAGUUUAAGAAUAUUCGCACGCAUGCCCAAAGACGUAAGAUCCUUCAAGAACAAGAUAUACUGCUAGAUCCUUCAGGAACAAGACACACGGCUUUCUUAAUCUUAAUACUUGCAACACAAAUUAAUGCCUUAACAAUGUUUUGUUGACGUAACUUGCGUAAAAGAAAACUCUCGGAUUAUAUCUUUGAAUAAUGAAGACAUGGCAGAUGAAUUAAGAAGACACAGUAAUGACG